CACGGGGGGAGCGAGCGUUGUCCGGAAUCAUUGGGCGUAAAGGGCGCGUAGGCGGCCACGCACGUCCGUUGUGAAAUCGCCCGGCUCAACUGGGCGGGGUCAGCGGAUACGGUGUGGCUCGAGCAAGCUAGGGGGCAAUGGAAUUCCCGGUGUAGUGGUGGAAUGCGUAGAUAUCGGGAGGAACACCAGUGGCGAAGGCGGUUGCCUGGAGCUUUGCUGACGCUGAGGCGCGAAAGCGUGGGGAGCGAUCCGG
rnacentral:rRNA from 1 species